rnacentral:rRNA from 1 species
GGGUGAGUAAUGCAUCGGAACGUGCCCAGUCGUGGGGGAUAACGCAGCGAAAGCUGCGCUAGUACCGCAUACGAUCUAUGGAUGAAAGCGGGGGACCGUAAGGCCUCGCGCGAUUGGAGCGGCCGAUGUCAGAUUAGGUAGUUGGUGGGGUAAAGGCUCACCAAGCCAACGAUCUGUAGCUGGUCUGAGAGGACGACCAGCCACACUGGAACUGAGACACGGUCCAGACUCCUACGGGAGGCAGCAGUGGGGAAUUUUGGACAAUGGGCGCAAGCCUGAUCCAGCAAUGCCGCGUGCAGGAAGAAGGCCUUCAGGUUGUAAACUGCUUUUGUACGGAACGAAACGGUCUGAGUUAAUACCUCGGGCUAAUGACGGUACCGUAAGAAUAAGCACCGGCUAACUACGUGCCAGCAGCCGCGGUAAUACGUAGGGUGCAAGCGUUAAUCGGAAUUACUGGGCGUAAAGCGUGCGCAGGCGGUGAUGUAAGACAGUCGUGAAAUCCCCGGGCUCAACCUGGGAAUUGCGAUUGUGACUGCAUCGCCGGAGUGCGGCAGAGGGGGAUGGAAUUCCGCGUGUAGCAGUGAAAUGCGUAGAUAUGCGGAGGAACACCGAUGGCGAAGGCAAUCCCCUGGGCCUGCACUGACGCUCAUGCACGAAAGCGUGGGGAGCAAACAGGAUUAGAUACCCUGGUAGUCCACGCCCUAAACGAUGUCAACUGGUUGUUGGGUCUCUUCUGACUCAGUAACGAAGCUAACGCGUGAAGUUGACCGCCUGGGGAGUACGGCCGCAAGGUUGAAACU